UGGGGAAUAUUGGACAAUGGGCGCAAGUCUGACCCAGCCAUGCCGCGUGCCGGAUGAAGGCCCUCAGGGUUGUAAACGGCUUUUAUUCGGGAAGAAGAGCACGGAUGCGUCUGUGUGUGACGGUACCGAAUGAAUAAGCACCGGCUAACUCCGUGCCAGCAGCCGCGGUAAUACGGAGGGUGCGAGCGUUGUCCGGAUUUAUUGGGUUUAAAGCGUGUGUAGGUGGCUUUUUAAGUCAGUGGUGAAAUACAGCCACUCAACGGUUGAUGUGACAUUGAUACUGAAAAGCUUUAAGCAAGAGGAGGCUGCCGGAAUGGAUGGUGUAGCGUUGAAAUGCGUAGAUAUCAUCCAGAACACCGAUUGCGAAGGCAGGUGGCUACGUUUGAUUUGACACUGAGGCACAAAAGCAGGGGGAGCAAACA
rnacentral:rRNA from 1 species